AAUGAACGCUGGCGGCAUGCCUAACACAUGCAAGUCGAACGAAGGCUUCGGCCUUAGUGGCGCACGGGUGCGUAACGCGUGGGAAUCUGCCCUCAGGUUCGGAAUAACAGCGAGAAGUUGCUGCUAAUACCGGAUGAUAUCGCGAGAUCAAAGAUUUAUCGCCUGAGGAUGAGCCCGCGUAGGAUUAGCUAGUUGGUGUGGUAAAGGCGCACCAAGGCGACGAUCCUUAGCUGGUCUGAGAGGAUGAUCAGCCACACUGGGACUGAGACACGGCCCAGACUCCUACGGGAGGCAGCAGUGGGGAAUAUUGGACAAUGGGCGAAAGCCUGAUCCAGCAAUGCCGCGUGAGUGAUGAAGGCCUUAGGGUUGUAAAGCUCUUUUACCCGGGAUGAUAAUGACAGUACCGGGAGAAUAAGCUCCGGCUAACUCCGUGCCAGCCGCCGCCGUAA
rnacentral:rRNA from 1 species